rnacentral:lncRNA from 1 species
CAGGCUGCCAGCGUGGAAAACCGGCCACGUGCAGGUCUGGGGCUGGGCACACACAGGGUCACACCCAGGAAGGGAUAAGCUAUGCAUUUCUAUUGAUAGAGUGGGCAGGGACCACAGGAAUUUAGAAAAUAUUAGGGCCAAGUUUACUGGGGAAAAUGUACAGGCCAGCAGAUAGCAUGGAAAAGUCCCCUCCCUGAGGAAGGGAAGCAUCUCAGAGGAGGUAAGAGACUGCUCCCAGGGCUGUGGUUAGAGCCUCCCCAACCGCAGCACGAUGCCCUUUGUCCCAUCUUCAGCAGGAGGGGCUGCUCUCCAUGGAGAUGAGGCUGACAGGGUCAGCGGAGUAGCCUGUGACAGGCAGGUUUUAAUAAGUUCAUUUUCAGCCAACCCCUGAAAUGGGUUAUUUUUGUUCCAUGGGAAUGCUCUACAUCUUCUGAAAGAUGGCACCUGGGACCCAGCCCAUGGCCUUCCUGGGGUAGGAUGUGCUGGAGAAGGAUUCUGUGGACCUGACAGAGAAGACAGAAGCCAGAGAGUAGACACCCGGAAAGAAAGAGGGAAAAGUGUGGUGGGAAGGACAGAGGGGACCCGAAGUUCCCCACGCCAGGGAAAUGACAGGGGGUUGCCAGUCUGUUUCUGAUGGUUGAGCAGUCAGGGGCCCAGAGACGCAGGAAACCCAAAAUCCUUGGUCCACCACGGGGCUGUCCUCAGGGUCUGGAGAGCAGGCCCCAUACUCCAGGCCCCCAUCCUCCAGGCCCUCGUCCCCCAGGCUCCAUCCUCCAGGCCCCCAUUCUCCAGGGCUCCAUCCUCUAGGCCCCUGUCCUCCAGGCCCCCAUCCUCUAGGCCCUCAUCCUCCAGGCUCCAUCCUCCAGGCUCCAUCCUCCAGGUUUCAUCCUUCAGGCCAUCAUCCUCCAGGCCCCCGUCCUCCAGGCCCCCAUCCUCCAGGCCCCAUCCUCCAGGCCCCCAUCUUUCAGGCCCCUGUCCUCCAGGCUCUUGUCCUCCAGGCCCUCAUCCUCCAGGCCCCUGCUCCUCCAGACCCUCAUCCUCCAGACCCUCAUCCUCCAGGCCCCCAUCUUUCAGGCCCCUGUCCUCCAGGCCCUCUUCCUCCAGACCCUCGUCCUCCAGGCCCCUGUUCCUCCAGACCCUCGUCCUCCAGACCCUCAUUCUCCAGGCCCCCGUCCUCCAGGCUCCAUCCUCCAGGGCUCCUCUGGGUCCGGGUCAAGUACCUCCAGGCUCUCUGCUGACUGUUCACCACUGGGCAACCACAGGGACUCGAUCCAUGAAAACUCUGGCAAGGUCAGUUUCCUUGUUCUACAUCCCUGUCACUUUAGUCACCAUCAUGAUAUAAGUGACUGAGUCAUUGUUUUCUCUCAUAUUCCCACCCACCUCUCCUCUCUGCUUCCUCCCCAUCAACUCGACUUCCCACCGCUCACUGCAGCCCCUUCAGGAUUCCUGCUGCGACCACCUGACCCAUGCAAAAGAGACCACUUCUCAGCCUCUCUCACUCUCCUGGCCCUGGCGGAAGCCUGUGUUGUCAUAGGCAUGCUUCCCUGGAAUCCUGCUCAGGCCCCCACGCAGGGACACUGAGUGCCCACAGAGUUGGGAAACCAUUACACGAGAUGGGACGUCUGCAAUAGAGUGGCAUCGCUAGUUGAAAGUGGAGCUGUUCACAACCUCCACAACUGUACUUGGUGGCCACGUCCCCAUCACAUGGGCUCAGACUGGGGGCUGGACAUUGACUUUGAGCCCCAAGUCUUCACCCUCAUGCAAAAACCAUCCUCCUUGGAGAUGCAGGCUGGGAAGGGCGCCAUGUCCGGAGUCCCUGCCCUGCUGUCAUCUGCCGACCUUUGUGCAGCCUGUCCCUUUCGUUAAGAAUUUCAGCACUGAGUUCACUGUGUUCCUUGUCAUGCUAAGACUUGGCCACAUCCCAGCCAUCUUCAACAUGGCGGUCGAUGUUUCAUCAAAAUUCACAGUCGCUCAGAUUUUAUUUUUCCUCAUCUCUAGGAACUUCCAUCUCCACUCCACUUCUGCCACUUCUGCCACCCUCCCAUGACCACACUCAGAACUUGAGCUCCACCUCUGAAAGAGGCAGAAUUGCCUUAUCUCACACAGUGGUGACAGCACUCUGUAAUAAUCUGCAUGGGCCAGGGCUCCUUGGUUGCAGGUAACAGAUACCACUGUUACGGCCCAACUCUGUUCUUCUAUGUUGAAGCCGGAACCCCCAGCGCCUCAGAAUGGGAUCACAUCUGGAGAAGGCGCCUUUAAAGAGAACCCAUCGUAUAAAAAGGCCAUACCUUCUGGAGGGACGUCGAUGGUAUUAGGAUAGAAGCACCAGGGGACCCCACGAACGGUGUCGUCGAAACAGCAGCCCUUAUUUGCACACUGGGAGGGCGUGACAC